rnacentral:misc_RNA from 1 species
CGAGCUGUCAGGUUGGCCUCUCAACAGGUACCAGACGCUUGCUUUGGUCAUCUUCUCCUCAGUCCUCGCUCUGGACCUCUGGUUCUGGGAACUGUUUGUCGGUACUGCUGUGAACUGGGCCACUGGGGCUGCUUCGGGACUCGAUCUUCUCACCUAUGGCAUCAUCCAAGAUGGGCAGAAGGGGAAGAAGGAAUCUGUACUUGUCGAGGAAGGUCUGAUUACCGAAUCGCUCCCUAACGGUAUGUUUCGUG